AAUUCGAUUGAGUUUGAUCAUGGCUCAGAAUCAACGCUGGCGGCGUGCCUCAGACAUGCAAGUCGAACGAUUAAGACUUCCUUCGGGAAGUGUAUAGAGUGGCGCACGGGUGAGUAACACGUAGGUUAUCUACCUCCGAGUGGGGAAUAACAGUCGGAAACGACUGCUAAUACCGCAUAAUACCGAAAGGUCAAAGCUCUAGUGCUUGGAGAGGAGCCUGCGGCAGAUUAGCUAGUUGGUGAGGUAAUGGCUCACCAAGGCUACGAUCUGUAUCCGGUCUAAGAGGACGGUCGGACACACUGACACUGAAUAACGGGUCAGACUCCUACGGGAGGCAGCAGUCGGGAAUUUUGGGCAAUGGGCGAAAGCCUGACCCAGCAACGCCGCGUGAAGGAUGAAGUCUUUCGGGAUGUAAACUUCGAAAGAAUAGGAAGAAUAAAUGACGGUACUAUUUUUAAGCCCCGGCUAACUCCGUGCCAGCAGCCGCGGUAAUACGGGGGGGGCAAGCGUUGUUCGGAUUUACUGGGCGUAAAGCGUAUGUAGGCGGUUAGGUAAGUUACUUGUGAAAUCUCUGAGCUUAACUCAGAACGGUCAAGUAAUACUGCCAAACUAGAGUGCAGAAGGGGCAAUUGGAAUUCUUGGUGUAGCGGUGAAAUGCGUAGAUAUCAAGAGGAACACCAGAGGCGAA
rnacentral:rRNA from 1 species